AACGCACCUUGCGCUCCUUGGUAUUCCGAGGAGCAUGCCUGUUUGAGUGUCAUGAAAAAUCUCAACUGCCCCGGGGUUUUUGUGCCCGGGGGUGAAGUUGGACUUGGAGGCUUCGCUGGCGGCACUCGCGCCUUGCCGGCCCCUCUGAAAUGCAUGAGCCCCUCUUCCUGGUGGAGUGGCCCCGGCGUGAUAACUAUCUGCGUCGGGACGGCCCUCUGGUCCCGGCGGGCUUCACAACGAGAAGGCUUUCCGGGCCUUGAUCACAUUCGACCUCAGAUCAGGUAGGACUACCCGCUGAACUUAA
rnacentral:misc_RNA from 1 species